CUGAAUUCUCACUUCACUUUUGUCUCUUUUUCUCUUAAGGAAAGUGCUAGGAAGCUCCCUUGAGUCUUUCUCUUGAGUCCAAGGGUUCACACACACACCAAAAGAAAGAUAAGUGUCCAUCUUAUCUCAUAUUUGACUCCUUCAAAGAACCUACAACAAUCAAGAACUCUCUCCCUCUUUCAUUCCUACGGGUCCAACACAAAAAGAAGGAAAAGCUUUCAAUUAUUUUCUCCCUUUCACACCUACAAGUCCAGCAGCAAGAAGGAAGCUUCUUUCAACUCUCUCAAGCUCUCUACCUCUCAUACUUUCUGGUCCAGCCACUAGGAAAGGGAAAUCCUUUCAUGUGUUACCAGUAUCCAAGUCUACGCUCCUUCGACUUUAGGCUUUCGAUUCCUCUACUUUCAGUAGGUUUUAUUUUGGAGCAGAGAGAACCUUAGUCAAGUUUGGAAGGAGCUGGUUUUAGUUUUAUAUGUAUAGAUCCUAAAUUAGUAAUUUGAUGUUUAGCUUUAUUGUAUUGUGUAUUUUAGGAUUUAAGGAAAAUUGUAUACCUUAAAGUAUUAAGAGAUGUAUUAUGUGAAAGUGUGAAAAUUAAAUGAUUGGUGGAUUAUGUUA